rnacentral:rRNA from 1 species
GACGAACCGUGCGAACGUUAUUCGGAAUCACUGGGCUUAAAGCGCGUGUAGGCGGGCCGCACGUCGGUCGCUGAAAUCCCCGGCUCAACCGGGAAGGGCACCGAUACGACCGGCCUGGAGGGGGGGGUAGGGGCGCUGGAACUCACGGUGGAGCGUGAAAUGCGUAGAUAUCGUCUGAACGCCGAAGGUGAAACAGCUCGC